UACGGAGGGGGCUAGCGUUGUUCGGAAUUACUGGGCGUAAAGGGCGCGCAGGCGGCUGCUCAAGUCAGGCGUGAAAGGCCUGGGCUCAACCCGGGAAUUGCGCUUGAGACUGGGCUGGCUUGAGUGCGGGAGAGGAUGGUGGAAUUCCCAGUGUAGAGGUGAAAUGCGCAGAUAUCAGGAGGAACACCGGUGGCGAAGGCGGGUCUCUGGGCAACAACUGACGCUGAGGAGCGAAAGCGUGGGGAGCGAACAGG
rnacentral:rRNA from 1 species